rnacentral:misc_RNA from 1 species
CUGAAGUUUUGGCCGCAAGGCCACUCUUCCACCCUUUGUUUAUAACACCUUUGUUGCUUUGGCGGGCCGCCCUAGGCCACCGGCGUCAGCUGGUGCGCGCCCGCCAGAGGCCCAAACAACCUGUUUUAUAGUGUUUGUCUGAGUAAAAACUUAAUUGUUA